GUCCACGCCGUAAACGAUGGGUGCUAGGUGUGGGAGGUGUCGACUCCUUCCGUGCCGAAGCUAACGCAUUAAGCACCCCGCCUGGGGAGUACGGCCGCAAUGCUAAAACUCAAAGGAAUUGACGGGGGCCCCGCACAAGCAGCGGAGCAUGUGGUUUAAUUCGACGCAACGCGAAGAACCUUACCUGGGCUUGACAUGCACGGGAAUGUCGUAGAAAUACGGCAGCCUUUCGGGGCUCGUGUACAGGUGUUGCAUGGCUGUCGU
rnacentral:rRNA from 1 species